UUUUACGGUACCCAGGGAUAAAUAUGGGCCAUCCAAUCUAUAGAUUGAGCCAUGCAGAUGAAGCCAUACUGUCAGAUUUCGGCCGCCCAACACGCGAGCAGUAUAGAGUGUCCUGCGCCGUCCGCAGGCAGCAGUAUACGUUGAUGAGGGUAUUUUAGGAAGAUCAUAUUUUGUCCCGCAAGGGAGACUCCAUCUCCUACCCCUGUUCGUUCAGUUUGCCCACCCAAAAAAUCCCCUCACAUAUUCCGGCCGCCAUGGACCUGCACCACUGUAGUCCCUCCUCUCUCUCUGGCUUGAGCAGCGGCGGAAACGGGAACCACCCUUCCGAGCCAGGGUCCGGCCGCCGCCGCCAACGCGCAGCCCCCGUAUCCCCUCCUCCCCGGUCGAUUUGAAUGGCCCCUACGAACUAGGGUUCCGGCCGUCGCUGACGCCGACCACCGUGGCGCAGCUGGUCGAUCUCCGGCCAGGAUGAUCUGCGGCCAUGAAGGUUUUGGAGGGCCGCGUGGCCCAGUCGGUCAAGUACUAGGCCGAGGCAGACGCUGUGUCGCCGGCGGUUGCCGCCGACCGCGGCGACGAAGCUGCAGGUCCUCUGAACAACGACAACGGACUCCUCUGAACAGAAGGUUCUGAGGCGGCUGAAGAAGGUGUGCCAUGAAUCGCAGCAGGAUAAUAAGCGUCCCGCAGACUCUGAGCAUUUUUCAGUUCCUCCGAUCCAUACUAGGCAUAUGAAGUCAAAUUCUGCCUCCACUUCUGAUGAAGAAAGAGAGGACAUGAUUCCCAUCUCCUGGAGGAUGAAGCGGCACCACCUGGAAAUAAACACGAAGAUGCCAGCUACGAAGUGAAGCCGAAGGUGUAUCCAUCUACCAGCAGUUGUUCCCAGCAAGAGUUUGCGGAAGCAACUAGAGAUGCAGCUUCAGUGGUCCGGCCAAAGCGAGUGAAAAUCCGGUUUACUCCUAGCGCUAACAGACUGGUUGAGCAGCAGGGCUGCUCAGGUCAGAGAUUUGCAAGCGAUGACAAGCCACCUGGGUAUUGACGCACGUAUCAGGGUGUGGCUACACACAGGUGAUGUUGAUGAAAGCAUUAUGCAAGAGCUGGACCAAGGAAUGACCGCAUCGACUGUUUUUAGGAGCAUACUUGGCUAAAAUAUUUCUUGUAGAAAUAACGAGGCAUAUGUUUUAGCUCAAUUCCGUCGAGCAUAUAUUAAUCGUGUAUUCGUGUAGCGUAUUGAGAUGUUUGAGCUACAUGUAAAUUUAUUUUUCCAACUAAAUUUUUUCAUGACAUCAAGUUGAUGUUCCGGUGUUUC